rnacentral:rRNA from 1 species
UCCCGUUGAUCCUGCGGGAGGUUGCUGCUAUGAGGGUUCGACUUAACCAUGCAAGUCUAGGGGGCCUUCGGGUCACCGGCGAAAUGCUCAGUAACAUGUCGAUAAUCUGCCCUUAGGUUUGGGAUAACCUCGGGAAACUGAGGCUAACACCGAAUAUGAGAAUAUGACUGGAAUGUCUUUUCUCCAAAAAGUAAUGCCUAAGGAUGAGUCGGCACCUGAUUAGGUUGUUGGUGGGGUAACGGCCCACCAAGCUUACGAUCAGUAGGGGCCCUGAGAGGGGUAGCCCCGAGAAGGGUACUUAGACACUGACCCUAGCCCUACGGGGUGCAGCAGGUGCGGAACCUUUACAAUGCACGAAAGUGUGAUAAGGGAACCCUUAGUGCUUAUGCACUGCAUAGGCUUUUUCCAAGAGUAAGUAUCUUGGAGAAUAAGUGGUGGGUAAGACUGGUGCCAGCAGCCGCGGUAACACCAGCGCCACAAGUGGCAAUCACAAUUAUUGGGCCUAAAGCGUCCGUAGCCGGUCUUGUAAAUUCUUUGUGAAAUCGUCGGGCUCAACCCGACGAAUUGCAGAGAACACUGCAAGACUUGAGACCAGGAGGAGUCAGAGGUAUUCCAGGGGGAGCGGUAAAAUGCUAUAAUCCUUGGAGGACCACCUGUGGCGAAGGCGUCUGACCAGAAUGGUUCUGACGGUGAGGGACGAAAGCCAGGGGAGCAAACCGGAUUAGAUACCCGAGUAGUCCUGGCCGUAAACGCUGUGAGCUAGGUGUUGCAUAUUCUUCGCGAAUAUGCAGUAUCGAAGUGAAGACGAUAAGCUCACCGCCUGGGAAGUACGGUCGCAAGACUGAAACUUAAAGGAAUUGGCGGGGGAGCACCACAAGGGGUGCGGCGUGCGGUUUAAUCUAACUCCACACAGAGAAUCUCACUAGAGGCGACGGCAGUAUGAAGGUCAGUCUGAAGGGCUUACCCGACGAGCCGAGAGGUAGUGCAUGGCCGCCGUCAGCUCGUGCUGUGAGGUGUCCUGUUAAGUCAGGCAACGAGCGAGACCCAUAUCUACAAUUGCUAACAGAUCAGAAAUGAGGCCUGAGCACAUUGUAGGGACUGCCCGGGAAACUGGGAGGAAGGCGUGGGCCACGGUAGGUCUGUAUGCUCCGAAUCUUUUAGGCUACACGCGCGCAACAAUGGUUGGGACAAUGGGAUACAACUCCGAAAGGAGAAGUCAAACCUCUAAACCCAAUCUUAGUCCAGAUUGAGGGUUGUAACUCACCCUCAUGACGAUGGAAUCCCUAGUAAUCGGGUGUUAUCAGCGCCCGGUGAAUAUGUCCCUGCUCCUUGCACACACCGCCCGUCAAACCAUCCGAGCAGGGUUUAGAUGAGAACUAGUUAUUUGACUAGUGCGAAUCUAAGCUCAGUGAGGCGGGUUAAGUCGUCACAAGGUA